UUAAUUACGAUGACAGGGUUCGUACAAUAAAUCUAUCUUGACUAGCGAAUCAGGGAUGGUGGAAGCCUGAAGCAUGACAUUUAUUGUCCUAUCCCCCUCGAGUACCCUUACUGAACAUAGUAGGUUAGGGCGUUUCAUUCACGUUACGAAUGCUGAAGUGGAUUUGCUUCCAAUUUUUGGGCAAGUCUAUAAGGGUGGUACCGCGAGACCUUCUCGUCCCUUUA
rnacentral:ncRNA from 1 species